CACGUAGGCGGCCUGGUAAGUCAGAUGUGAAAGCCCGGGGCUUAACCCCGGAAGUGCAUUUGAUACUGUCAGGCUUGAGUAUGGGAGAGGGAAGUGGAAUUCCUGGUGUAGAGGUGAAAUUCGUAGAUAUCAGGAGGAACGCCGGUGGCGAAGGCGACUUCCUGGACCAAUACUGACGCUGAGGUGCGAAGGCGUGGGUAGCAAACA
rnacentral:rRNA from 1 species